UACGGAGGGCGCGAGCGUUGUCCGGAAUCACUGGGCGUAAAGGGCGCGUAGGCGGCCCUGGUAAGUCUGCGGUGAAAGCCCGGGGCUCAACCCCGGGUCGGCCGCGGGUACUGCCGGGCUGGAGUGCCGUAGGGGCAGGCGGAAUUCCGGGUGUAGCGGUGGAAUGCGUAGAGAUCCGGAAGAACACCGGUGGCGAAGGCGGCCUGCUGGGCGGCGACUGACGCUGAUGUGCGAAAGCGUGGGGAGCAAACAGG
rnacentral:rRNA from 1 species